rnacentral:tRNA from 1 species
GGUUGUAGUUAAGUCGGUUAUAACGCCGGCCUGUCACGCCGGAGGCCGCCGGUUCGAGUCCGGUCGAC